rnacentral:tRNA from 1 species
GGGUUCGUGGUCUAGUUGGUUAUGACACCGCCCUUACAAGGCGGAGGUCCCCGGUUCGAAACCGGGCGAACCCA